AGUAGGGAAUAUUGGGCAAUGGUCGGAAGACUGACCCAGCCAUGCCGCGUGCAGGAAGACGGCCCUCUGGGUUGUAAACUGCUUUUAUCAGGGAAGAAAAAGGCCAUGCGUGGCAAAUUGCCGGUACCUGAUGAAUAAGCACCGGCUAACUCCGUGCCAGCAGCCGCGGUAAUACGGAGGGUGCGAGCGUUGUCCGGAUUUAUUGGGUUUAAAGGGUGCGUAGGCGGCUGCUUAAGUCAGUGGUAAAAGGCACGGGCUCAACCCGAUGUAAGCCAUUGAUACUGGGCAGCUUGAGUUCUCUGAGAGUACAUGGAAUUGAUGGUGCAGCGGUGAAAUGCAUAGAUACCAUCAGGAACACCGAUAGCGAAGGCAUUGUACUUUGGAGCGACUGACGCUGAUGCACGAAAGCGUGGGUAGCGAACAGGAUUAGAUACCCUGGUAGUCCACGCCGUAAACGAUGAUUAUUCGCUGUUAUACUGUAAUGGAGUAGCGGCUUAGCGAAAGCGUUAAGUAAUCCACCUGGGGAGUACGCCGGCAACGGUG
rnacentral:rRNA from 1 species